rnacentral:rRNA from 1 species
UACGGAGGAUGCGAGCGUUAUCCGGAUUUAUUGGGUUUAAAGGGUGCGUAGGCGGAUCGUUAAGUCAGUGGUCAAAUUGAGGGGCUCAACCCCUUCCCGCCAUUGAAACUGGGGAUCUAGAGUGUGCGAGAGGUAUGCGGAAUGCGUGGUGUAGCGGUGAAAUGCAUAGAUAUCACGCAGAACCCCGAUUGCGAAGGCAGCAUACCGGUGCACAACUGACGCUCAGGCACGAAAGCGUGGGUAUCGAACAGG